UUUCCCAGCCGUUAACACUCUCAUCAUAGCAUCAGCUGUUACUGUCAGUCUCCGUCCUCGCGUUACUAUUAUUAGCUACCAGCGACGACGAUUUGGUUCCCCUCACCACCAGCUUCACCAUCGCCACCCUCACCGUCCUCGUCUAUCCACCGCUCCACAGGGGCACACUCCUCCUUAUGUCUCAGCUUCCAAUCAAGCGCCUGACACGCGCGUGAGCAGUAAUUCACAGCUCCACAAACGGAACAUCUUCUGAACUCAUGUUUUCUAGUUUCCGGUCUUCCGCAUCCCACGUGAGAGCAUAAUCGAAGCCCCGGGCCUGGUGUUCCUCCCCGACAGGCGAACCACUCGGUCAUGAACCGGCUAGCUGGGUGUGCCUCUGGAGCCGGAACAUUACACCCGAAAUCACUCAACAGAGGGCAUCCAAGACCACUCCCAUGCCGGUGGUUGGGGGGAGCGUGUGGGUUCCAAGUAAGCCAUGCGCGCGUAUUUACACCAGAAUUAGGCUUAGAAAGCACAGCGGCUAACUCCCGAGCGUUUGCUUGGACGAGGAAUCGGCGUCCCUCGGCGAUGUUUUGACGGACUCCGUAACCGUCCUGGAGGCAGUGGCCUAGUUCACGAAGGGCGUCGAUAUGGCCUAG
rnacentral:misc_RNA from 1 species